rfam:Nicotiana attenuata strain TT chromosome 11, whole genome shotgun sequence.
GCGAUUGUUUACCAAAAACAUAGUCUCCACAAAGUUGUAAGACCAUGUACGGGGGUUGACGCAUGCCCAAUACUGGAAGGUCAAGGAAGUUGGCGACCUGAUAACAGGGGAGCCAGUGAUUGAAGUCCGGGUGAACGGCAACCGUAACUAUGACGGUCCUAAGGUAGCAAAAUUCCUUAUCGAGUAAGUUUCAACCCGCACAAAGGGUGUAACGAU